rnacentral:misc_RNA from 1 species
UAAGAGAAUGAAAGUGGGUAAAGUGAUGCAGGCCUUGGUUGAAUGUUGUAAAGGAGAGCACCACUCAUUCAGCCAUGGAAGAUGGACCGUCCUUCACCCAAGCACAAACACUCCAGCACAUACACAAACAACUCAACUUCUAACAAGAUAGAUAGCACUUUAGAACAAAGGGGACUUUCAUUAACUUUGAAAAACAGAAAAUACAAGAUGUCAAUGGCACUUGAAACACAAUAGCAACCUGUGCUAGAGUUUCUCAAGUAUAAGCCUAAGAUAUUACAAGUG